rnacentral:piRNA from 1 species
GAGAAAUUUUUCUCCUGAAGCCUCAAAUCU